UACUAGAGUAGCACUCGCAUAUCAAUAAGCGGAGGAAAAGAAACUAACAAGGAUUCCCCUAGUAACGGCGAGUGAAGCGGGAAGAGCUCAAAUUUGAAAUCUUAAAGGGUUUCCCUUUACGAAUUGUAGUUUAAAGAAGUGUUUUCUGUUGAGGUUUUGGUAAAAGUUCUUUGGAAUAGGACAUCAUAGAGGGUGAGAAUCCCGUAUUUGACCUUUACUUUCAACUUUGUGAUACACUUUCAAGGAGUCGGAUUGUUUGGGAAUGCAGUCCAAAAUGGGUGGUAAAUUUCAUCUAAAGCUAAAUAUUGGCGAGAGACCGAUAGCGAACAAGUACCGUGAGGGAAAGAUGAAAAGAACUUUGAAGAGAGAGUUAAACAGUACGUGAAAUUGUCAAAAGGGAAGCGUUUGACACCAGUGUUGUUUUUCUGAAAAUCAAUUAAAGAACUGUUUAUGCUAAGCUGUUUAGACUUUAUCAGCUAUCUGUUUAGUUUUGAGCUUUUCUUUAAUGCACUUUUCAGUUAACAAGUCAACAUCAAUUUCUUUUGCUGUAAAAAAGCUUGAGGAAGGUGGCUUGAGAUUCGUCUUAAGUGUUUAUAGCCUCUUGCCUAUGCAGUCGGAGAGAUUGAGGUCUGCAGCGUAGAUCCUUCGGGGCUAAAUGCAUUUGUGCUAAGUUAUAGCAUUUUAUAGACAACUUGUUGACUAUGAUUUGUCUUGUAGCUUACUCGCUCAUGUUAUUUUACCUACGCUUAGGAUGUUGAACUCUAUCACACACAG
rnacentral:rRNA from 1 species